rnacentral:rRNA from 1 species
GAUGAACGCUGACGGCGUGCCUAAUACAUGCAAGUCGAGCGAACGGACGAGAAGCUUGCUUCUCUGAUGUUAGCGGCGGACGGGUGAGUAACACGUGGAUAACCUACCUAUAAGACUGGGAUAACUUCGGGAAACCGGAGCUAAUACCGGAUAAUAUUUUGAACCGCAUGGUUCAAAAGUGAAAGACGGUCUUGCUGUCACUUAUAGAUGGAUCCGCGCUGCAUUAGCUAGUUGGUAAGGUAACGGCUUACCAAGGCAACGAUGCAUAGCCGACCUGAGAGGGUGAUCGGCCACACUGGAACUGAGACACGGUCCAGACUCCUACGGGAGGCAGCAGUAGGGAAUCUUCCGCAAUGGGCGAAAGCCUGACGGAGCAACGCCGCGUGAGUGAUGAAGGUCUUCGGAUCGUAAAACUCUGUUAUUAGGGAAGAACAUAUGUGUAAGUAACUGUGCACAUCUUGACGGUACCUAAUCAGAAAGCCACGGCUAACCACGUG